UACGGAGGAUGCAAGCGUUAUCCGGAAUGAUUGGGCGUAAAGGGUCCGCAGGUGGCACUGUGUGUCUGCUGUCAAAGAAUGAGGCUUAACCUCAUCAAGGCAGUGGAAACUACAUAGCUAGAGUACGGUCGGGGUAGAAGGAAUUCCUGGUGUAGCGGUGAAAUGCGUAGAGAUCAGGAAGAACACCGGUGGCGAAAGCGUUCUGCUAGACCUGUACUGACACUGAGGGACGAAAGCUAGGGGAGCGAAUGGG
rnacentral:rRNA from 1 species